UUAAUAGAAUAUUCAAGAUGUCACAAAACGUUUGUUCAAACAAAUUGUUCUAAUAAUUUAAUAUUGUAAUACUCAUUGUCUGAUCCUUAGUUUUUCAUUAAAUUAAUGGUAUCUAUGGAAUAUAAUGUUAUCAAUCGGAUUUACCAGUAAAGACUUGAAUUAUAAUUGAAUUCUAAAUUUAGCCUAUCUAAUUAUUGUUACUUAUUAUUUGUUAUAAUAAUAGUUCAAAUUAUAGCCGUAUGUAUUGACAUGAAUAAAUCUACCCAUGUAAUUCUUAAUAAUUUCCAGGCUAAUACUAUAUACAAUUAUGUAAAUAAUUACUAUGAAAACAAUGUGUUCUAUAUCAAUUAUACAAUAAACAUUAUUGUAAUUUAUAGUCAUCUUUAAGUAGUAAUUGUGUUAUUAUUGUUGCAUAUGAAAAUUUACAUAAUGUAUAGUAAAGUAAGUCGCAUCGUGCAGCACUAAUGUAGUCGUAAACAACUCGCUCUCUGCUCGGAACGUGCCAACAGAGCGUACUCUUUGUUGAGAGGUACUACGACAUUAACUAUACUCGUAUAAUAUAUAUCGCAGCUGUUUCAUUCGCACGUUUUGAGCAGUCUACUUGUAAUUUGUAGUCGCGCGAUGAUCCUCCGUUUCUCGGAUAUUAACUUAAUUAAGUGUAUACGAAAUUAUAAAUCCGACAGAACAGAGGACGGCCGCGUUAAUCAAUGUUUGUAUCUGAAUAUAAUGUGGACUUGCAUAAAUGUAAUUUAAAUAGCAAUGCAAAACAAUGCAAAUAUCUAUACUUAUAGUAACUUAAAUUACGCAAUAUUAUUGUGUCAUGGUUUUUUAUAGGUGUCAAGUAUAUACAGGUCUGAAAUUAUUGAAAUGAAACAACAUAGUAUUCCAGUGUAAAUCCCGGAUUGUACUUAAAGCUCGCAAGCGAGGUGUCGCACGGCGAACCGAGUGCCUUCAUACGUCCAGGAGCGGACGCGGAAUCGCCACCGUGGCCUCACGCGGGCCUCCGGUUAUAUUCAACACGUUUUAUACUUAAUUAACUAGUUCAAAAUUUCAACAUUAUCGGUAAUCACGCCACAAGUUAAAAUAUAGGGACAUCGGAUGCAGCGCCUGUGAGGCGCUGUGCUAGUGUUCUAAGUGUAAACGAGUGCCUUGAAACAUCCAGCCUUAGCGGAAUGCAGGUUGGCUGAGUGCGCGGCGCGACCGCGCGGUCCGGACCGUGCCACGGGAAUACUAUUCAGUAAAGGUUGGGUGGGCAUGGGGCAUAUGUAACGAAUGGCUAGCAGUAAAUAUUGUAAUGGUUUAUAUGAUUCCGUUCGAUGCACCGUGGCCUUUCAUAUCGCACCCGCGCGAUAUGGCGGCGACGGCGAGCGUGCGUCUUUGUCGGGCUCAAGGCACGUUGCAUUCGUCCUAGUUUAAUAGCUCACAAGAGUUUUGAUUUCAAAUUAUUUUCCAAAGUUGAAAUCCAAAUAAUUGUUUAAUUUUAGAAAGUGCAUAGUGCCUUUUGCUCAAUUUAUGCAAAUAUUGUAGGUAAGGUCAAUCUUAGUGGUUUAAAUGUAGAGCCAUGUUUUCGUUCCACCUUGUAUUGCCGACCAGAGGCGCCGCGCCGGCGCGAACCGAC